GUCUCUCUAUCCCAAAGCCUGAUGUGAUUUCCUUACUGGAGCAAGGGAAAGAGUCCUGCAUGGUUUCAAGGGACGUACCAGGAGGAUGGUGCCCAGAUUGCAGCAAUUUGGCCGGGCGCGGUGGUUCAUGCCUGUAAUCCCGGCACUUUGGAAGGCCGAGGUGGAAGGAUCAUCUGCGGUUGGGAGUACCAGUCCACCCUAACCAACGUGGUGAAACAUCGUGUCUACUAAAAAUACAAAAUCGGCCGGAUGCGGUAGCACAUGCCUAUAAUGGCAGCUACUCAGGAGGCUGAGGCAGGAGAAUCACUUGAACCCAGUAGGCGGAGGUUGUGAUAUAUAUAUAUGGAAAAGAGAAGGUCCAAGAAUAUCAAAGACAUUGAAGAAGAGGAAAGAUUUGUCCUGCCAAAUAUCAGAACUUUUAUAAAGCUACAGCAAUUAAGACAGUGUGGUCCUCACUGAUAAACUGACUAAUGAAACAGAAUAGAGAGCUCCCAAGCAAAUCUCUACAAAUUUAAUCUUCGAUACGUGAUGUAGGUGACAUGGCAGAUCAGUAAGGAAAGAAAGGACUUUUCAAUAAAUAGAAUAGAAAAAUAAUGGUUAUUGAUAUAAGAAAC
rnacentral:lncRNA from 1 species